rnacentral:misc_RNA from 1 species
UUUCCGUAGGUGAACCUGCGGAAGGAUCAUUAUUGAAUAAACCUGAAGUGGUUGUAGCUGGCCCUUUCGGGAGCAUGUGCACACCCGUCGUCUUUAUCUUUCCACCUGUGCACCUUUUGUAGACCUGGAUGUAACACUUUCCGAGGCAACUCGGUCGGGAGGAAUGCUGUCAGCUUUCCUUGAAUGUCCAGGCCUAUGUUUUCAUAUACCCCAAAGAAUGUAACAGAAUGUAUUAUUGGGCCUUGUGCCUAUAAACUAUAUACAACUUUCAGCAACGGAUCUCUUGGCUCUC